AGCUUCAUAUUUUAGUGAUUCGGGAAUUAAUAUUUAGAUCUAUUUUCUACGCACGUUUAAGUUGGAUUCACAAUGGAUAUGGGGUAGGAAGGUAUUUGGAACGUUCUUCAACGAGUAGAUCUCUUGUGAGGAUUAAAGGCUACCGAUCGAGGAGUGUGUGAAAAGCUUGGAUCAUCGGAGUGACUAAAUCUAGUCAUCAACUUCGACAAAGGAGAAAUCGCAUAGGAGAUCUCGUCAAGGAAUAUCGCAAAUCAGGUGAGCCUUGAUGUGGGGACUUGGGCCGGAGGGGAUUCAGAGUGGCCACGGUGAUUGUCUUUGGACUUUUAAAUAAGCGUAGGUUUUCUUUAAAUUUCCUUUAAAUAUUAUUUAUUUUUGGGUUGUAAUAAGGCCAUUUUAACUUUCCUUUUAUUUCUUUUCGGGAUUACUUUAAUUUUAAUAA